rnacentral:rRNA from 1 species
UACGGAGGGUGCAAGCGUUAAUCGGAAUUACUGGGCGUAAAGCGUGCGCAGGCGGUUUGUUAAGUCUGUUGUGAAAUCCCCGAGCUCAACUUGGGAAUUGCAAUGGAUACUGGCAGGCUGGAGUAUGGUAGAGGAAGGUGGAAUUCCCGGUGUAGCAGUGAAAUGCGUAGAGAUCGGGAGGAACACCAGUGGCGAAGGCGGCCUUCUGGACCAAUACUGACGCUGAGGUGCGAAAGCGUGGGGAGCAAACAGGG